rnacentral:rRNA from 1 species
CCUACGGGAGGCAGCAGUGAGGAAUAUUGGUCAAUGGACGGAAGACUGAACCAGCCAAGCCGCGUGAAGGAAGAAGGCACAAAGAGUUGUAAACUGCUUUUGUACAAGGGUAAACAUGAAUACGUGUAUCCAGAUGAAAGUACUGUAAGAAAAAGGAUCGGCUAACUCCGUGCCAGCAGCCGCGGUAAUACGGAGGAUCCAAGCGUUAUCCGGAUUGAUUGGGGUUAAAGGGUGCGUAGGCGGAUUGAUAAGUUAGAGGUGAAAGGUCCGAGCUUAACCCGGGAACUGCCUCUGAUACUGGUGAUCUAUAGUGUAGGUGCGGUAGGCGGAAUGUAUGGUGUAGCGGUGAAAUGCUU